rnacentral:rRNA from 1 species
GACCAGACUCCUACGGGAGGCAGCAGUGGGGAAUAUUGCACAAUGGGGGAAACCCUGAUGCAGCGACGCCGUGUGAAGGAAGAAGUAUCUCGGUAUGUAAACUUCUAUCAGCAGGGAAGAAAACAGACGGUACCUGACUAAGAAGCCCCGGCUAACUACGUGCCAGCAGCCGCGGUAAUACGUAUGGAGCAAGCGUUAUCCGGAUUUACUGGGUGUAAAGGGAGCGCAGGCGGCCUUGCAAGUCUGAUGAGAAAGGCCGGGGCCCAACCCCGGGACUGCAUUGGAAACUGCGAGGCUGGAGUGUCGGAGAGGCAGGCGGAAUUCCUAGUGUAGCGGUGAAAUGCGUAGAUAUUAGGAGGAACACCAGUGGCGAAGGCGGCCUGCUGGACGAUGACUGACGCUGAGGCUCGAAAGCGUGGGGAGCAAACAGGAUUAGAUACCCGUGUA